rnacentral:rRNA from 1 species
GCGUAACGCGUGGUGACCUGCCCCAAAGUGUGGGAUAACAGUUCGAAAGGACUGCUAAUACCGCAUGUGGUUUUCCGGAUCAGAUGCCGGAUUUCUAAAGCAGUAAUGCGCUUGGGAGGGACCUGCGUCCCAUCAGCUAGUUGGUGAGGUAACGGCCCACCAAGGCUACGACGGGUAGGGGACCUGAGAGGGUGGUCCCCCACACUGGCACUGAAACACGGGCCAGACACCUACGGGUGGCAGCAGUAGGGAAUAUUGGGCAAUGGGCGAAAGCCUGACCCAGCAACGCCGCGUGCAUGAUGAAGGUCUUCGGAUCGUAAAAUGCUUUUCUGAGAGAUGAGAAAGGACAGUAUCUCAGGAAUAAGUCUCGGCUAACUACGUGCCAGCAGCCGCGGUAACACGUAGGAGGCAAGCGUUAUCCGGAUUUACUGGGUGUAAAGCGCGUGCAGGCGGUUCGGUAAGUUGGAUGUAAAAGCUCCUGGCUCAACUGGGAGAGGACGUUCAAUACUGUCGGACUAGAGGGCAGCAGAGGGAGGUGGAAUUCCCGGUGUAGUGGUGAAAUGCGUAGAUAUCGGGAGGAACACCAGUGGCGAAGGCGGCCUCCUGGGCUGCACCUGACGCUCAAGAUGCGAAAGCUAGGGGAGCGAACGGGAUUAGAAACCCCGGUAGUCCUAGCCGUAAACGAUGUAGACUGGGUGUUGGUGGGAUAAAAUCCAUCAGUGCCGAAGCCAACGCGAUAAGUCUACCGCCUGGGGACUACGGCCGCAAGGUUAAAGCUCAAAGGAAUUGACGGGGGCCCGCACAAGCAGCGGAGCGUGUGGUUUAAUUCGAUGUUACACGAAGAACCUUACCCGGGUUUGACAUACAGGAGGUAGGGAAGUGAAAGCGGACCGACCCUUCGGGGAGCCUGAACAGGUGCUGCAUGGCUGUCGUCAGCUCGUGUCGUGAGAUGUCCGGUUAAGUCCGGUAACGAGCGCAACCCUUGCCGUAUGUUAUAGGUGUCAUACGGGACUGCCGGUAUCAAGCCGGAGGAAGGUAGGGAUGACGUCAAGUCAGCAUGGCCUUUAUGUCCGGGGCUACACACACGCUACAAUGGCCGGUACAAUGGGUAGCAAGACCGCGAGGUGGAGCCAAUCCUAAAAGCCGGUCCCAGUUCAGAUUGCAGGCU